rnacentral:rRNA from 1 species
UACGAGGGGGGCGAGCGUUUGUUCGGAAUUAUUGGGCGUAAAGGGUGCGUAGGCGGUUUGGUAAGUCUGAUGUGAAAUCUAUGGGCUCAACUCAUAGUCUGCAUCGGAAACUGCCGGGCUUGAGUGUGGGAGAGGUGAGUGGAAUUCCUGGUGUAGCGGUGAAAUGCGUAGAUAUCAGGAGGAACACCUGUGGCGAAGGCGGCUCGCUGGGACGGUACUGACGCUGAGGCGCGAAAGCGUGGGUAGCAAACAGG